CGUGCUUAACACAUGCAAGCCGAACGAUGAACCAGGGCUUGCCCUGGGGAUUAGUGGCGAACGGGUGAGUAACACGUGGGCAACCUGCCCCAGACACCGGGAUAACCAUUCGAAAGAGUGGCUAAUACCGGAUACGACCACUUUGGGCAUCCAACGGUGGUGGAAAGGAUUCUGGUCUGGGAUGGGCCCGCGGCCUGUCAGCUUGUUGGUGGGGUAAUGGCCUACCAAGGCGACGACGGGUAGCCGGCCUGAGAGGGCGACCGGCCACACUGGGACUGAGACACGGCCCAGACUCCUACGGGAGGCAGCAGUGGGGAAUAUUGCGCAAUGGGCGAAAGCCUGACGCAGCGACGCCGCGUGAGGGACGAAGGUCUUCGGAUUGUAAACCUCUUUCAGCAGGGACGAAGCGAAAGUGACUGUACCUGCAGAAGAAGCACCGGCUAACUACGUGCCAGCAGCCGCGGUAACAC
rnacentral:rRNA from 1 species